rnacentral:rRNA from 1 species
UACGUAGGGUCCGAGCGUUGUCCGGAAUUAUUGGGCGUAAAGGGCUCGUAGGCGGUUCGUCACGUCGGGAGUGAAAACUCGGGGCUUAACCCCGAGCCUGCUUCCGAUACGGGCAGACUAGAGGUAGGCAGGGGAGAGCGGAACUCCUGGUGUAGCGGUGGAAUGCGCAGAUAUCAGGAAGAACACCGGUGGUGAAGGCGGCUCUCUGGGCCUUACCUGACGCUGAGGAGCGAAAGCGUGGGUAGCGAACAGG